AUACGUAGGGUGCGAGCGUUGUCCGGAAUUACUGGGCGUAAAGAGCUCGUAGGUGGUUUGUCGCGUCGUCUGUGAAAUUCCGGGGCUUAACUCCGGGCGUGCAGGCGAUACGGGCAUAACUUGAGUACUGUAGGGGAGACUGGAAUUCCUGGUGAAGCGGUGAAAUGGGCAGAUAUCAGGAGGAACACCGGUGGCGAAGGCGGGUCUCUGGGCAGUAACUGACGCUGAGGAGCGAAAGCAUGGGUAGCGAACAGGAUUAGAUACCCUGGUAGUCCAUGCCGUAAACGGUGGGCGCUAGGUGUAGGGGUCUUCCACGACUUCUGUGCCGUAGCUAACGCAUUAAGCGCCCCGCCUGGGGAGUACGGCCGCAAGGCUAAAACUCAAAGGAAUUGACGGGG
rnacentral:rRNA from 1 species